AUGGGUUUUGAUAAAUCUUCCCCCAUGAUUGUUUUCAGCAAUUUUAUCUGCAUAGACACAGAAGGACCAUGUUUGGUUACCUUGGAGAUGACUAUGGAUAUAAUUACCCAGAAUCCUCUCUGGGUGCUCACAUCUUUGGUGAAUGUUCAUUCAAAACUUGAAGUACUACAUCCCUAAUCGAAGCUGUACUGUGGAGGGUGGGUUGUCACCAUUCAUGACCCUGGAUGACCCGGACAGACCACCAGUAGAGAGGAUCACUUGAUGCGUCUACAAGAACGAGCAGCUCCCACAGUUUCCUUGUCCACCAUCCAGAUAUAGGCAGAUGUGUGGAAGCAAAGUGCAGCUCAGACAGACCAGCUCGGGAAGGUGCUGGAGUCGCUUAGGCCAGAUAGAAUUGGUUGGUGGUCCACUCCUCCUGACUGGCCCGGACAUCGUCACAGCAAAAGGCAACGCUGCAGCUGAACAGGAGGGACUGGAGCUGCUGUCAGAGCAAGAGACUGAUAAACCUGU